rnacentral:rRNA from 1 species
AACGAACGCUGGCGGCAUGCCUAACACAUGCAAGUCGAACGAGACCUUCGGGUCUAGUGGCGCACGGGUGCGUAACGCGUGGGAACCUGCCCUUAGGUUCGGAAUAACUCCCCGAAAGGGGUGCUAAUACCGGAUAAUGUCUUCGGACCAAAGAUUUAUCGCCUUUGGAUGGGCCCGCGUUGGAUUAGCUAGUUGGUAGGGUAAAAGCCUACCAAGGCGACGAUCCAUAGCUGGUCUGAGAGGAUGGUCAGCCACACUGGGACUGGGACACGGCCCCGACUCCUGCGGGAGGGAGGCGUGGGGAAUAUUGGACAAUGGGCGGAGGCCUGAUCCAGCAAUGCCGCGUGAGUGAUGAAGGCCUUAGGGUUGUAAAGCUCUUUUACCCGGGAUGAUAAUGACAGUACCGGGAGAAUAAGCUCCGGCUAACUCCGUG